AGUGGUCUAUUAUGUCAUUCAAGUUUUCGUUCAAAUGACUGUAGCUCCUAACUUUUACAACUGUCAAUCUGUCACUUGAUUAUUUUGAACAUAGGAUGACUUAUUUCAAGUGAACAAUGUAAUAAGUCACCGACAUUUGGUUCAGUGUGCCAAUUCUCUCCCUUCCCUUACAUAACUAUUAUUAGGAAAUCUAGACGUGGCCCAAUCAAGUCACGAAGAGGGAUUGUAAAACGAAGACUUCAGUUAUAACACCCAAAAAGUGAAAACCGGUCAAACAGCUGUAACCAGACAGACCAUUACAUGGCAGACGUCCUCCCAGUCAGACUCUGGGGCCCUGGGGGUAUUGUGAUGUACCGUUGAAGGUCCACUGUGUGUGCAGCUCUUCAGUCCAAAGUAGGCAAAGUCUACUUCGUGCAGUCAGCCAGGUAUGCAGAAGACAACUUCUGGAGUCAGUUCUGUCAACCAUGUGGGUCUCAGGGAUGGAACUCAGUUGGUCAUGAUUGGCAGCAAGCACCUUUACCUGCUGACCCACCUCAGCACUCCUGAUGGAGCAGAUGUAGAUGAACAAUAUCAUCUAUGAAACAUUCCAAACAAAACUAACUUGAAUCCAUCAAGCCUUCCCAUCAAACACGCAAUUUUUUUAAUUUGUUUUAUUAUUUUUUGAUGUCUGUGUGUUAUGUCUGCAUGUAUGUCUGUGUGCCAUGUUUGUUCCCGGUGCCCCCUGAAGUCAGAAGAAGGAAUCAGAUCCCCUAGAACUGGAGUUUCAGAAAGAUGAGCUGCAGGUGGGGGCUGGGAAUUGAACCUGUGUCCUCUGGAAGAGCAGCUGGUGCUCUUAACAGCUGAACACCUCUCCAGUGCCAAACACACCAUUUAUAAGAAAUACAACAGGUGAAAUAACAAAUUCUGUGCCAUUCUGGAGGAUAACUGGUGUAUAAGCUUCAACAAUGUAUCAUCCUGGAAGAAACAAUGGCUGUGUGGGGAAAAAAAAAAUCUAAGGGACAUUACAGCCUGACCCAGAUCCUAUUCUGAACAGACAAGCUAUAAAACACCUUUCAGCACAAUUGAAGGAGGAACGAAAGCAUGGAAUAUUUGAUAAGAUGAAGUUGUGUUGCCAUGCAAGCCUUGGAGGUCAUUAAGAAAACGGCAAGUCACAAAAUGGUGUGUGUGCAGUAGUAUCUCGGUUUUAAAAAGUUAAAUGUGUGUGUUUACAGACUAUGAAACAGGAUUUACCCUGAGGUUGUGCUGAUUACAAUCUUUGGAAGUAAAAUCAUACAUUUUUUUAUCUUAUAUUUAUCUUCAUGUAAUAUUUUUGCUUUAUACAUUACAUUUGUUCAUUAACAAUGAAAUUUAUUUUAUGAAAGUUUAUUUUAUUUAUUCAUUUGCAUUUACUUUUUUUUUUUUUCGGAGCUGGGGACCGAACCCAGGGCCUUACGCUUCCUAGGUAAGCACUCUACCACUGAGCUAAAUCCCCAGCCCGCAUUUACUUUUUUAAUUCGGGGGGAAACGAGUAAACGAGUGUGUGUGUGUGUGUGUGUGUGUGUGUGUGUGUGUGUGUCAAAGGACGACUUGUAGGAAUCUUUCUGGCCCAGCUCAGGUCUUCAGUCUGGCCUGUGGAGGUCAAGGACACCUUGGGGGACUCAGUUCUACUGCUAUGUGAGUUCUGUGAAUUAAACUCGGGUCAUUGGGCUUGGAGACAACUGCAUUACCUGCUCAACCAUCUCACCAGAUCUACCUGUUUAUAUUUUUUUAAAGAUUGAUUGUAUUUUUGAAAAGUGUGAGUGUGUGUGUGUGUGUGUGUGUGGUGUGAUAUGUGGUGUAUGUGUGUGUCUGUGUGGUGUAUGUGUGUGUCUGUGUGUGUAUGUGGUGUGAUAUGUGGUGUGUAUGUGGUGUGAUAUGUGGUGUGUAUGUGUGUAUGUGUGUGUGGGGGUGGGUGGGUGGUGUGGUGUGUGGGGUGUGUGUGUGUGGUGUGGUGUGAGGGUGUGUGUGUGUCUGUAUGUGUAUAGUGUGUGUGUGGUGUGUGUGUGUGUGAGUGGGUGGGUGGGUGGUGUGGAGUGUGUGUGGUAUGUGGUGUGUAUGUGUGUGGUAUGUGGGGUGUGUGUGUGGAGGGUGUACGUGUGCGUAUGUGUGUGUGUUGAACUGGAAGUUUCUGGUUGAGUAAUGUAAUGCAGACUCACAUGGUGUUUUGCUGGAGCAGACUCAUGUGAUGCUGAAGCAAACCCCUGAGAGGACACGUGAUGUGUAUAAGGUAUAAGGAGGGCCCGACAGACAGUGACAGGAUGCUCGCACUGCUAGCCAUGCAACGCUUCCUCAAUCUCACGUCUUUGGUGAUCUUCACUUCCUUGAGAGAGGCACAGCAGAGAACUGCCUUGAAUUUCAGCUGGGUCUGGUUGCUUCCGAGGACUUGUGCCUAUCUGGUAAAGGCCUGGCUGGAUCUGACUGCUGCCACUGAUUCGUGUUUGGUGACACUCUUUGAACUGAACUGUUGGUAUCCUGAUGACACCCUGGAAUCACCCGCCAAGAGCAAGUUUUUUUUUUUUUUUUCGGAGCUGAGGACCGAACCCAGGGCCUUGUGCUUGCUAGGCAAGCGCUCUACCACUGAGCUAAAUCCCCAACCCCAAGAGCAAGUUUUAAAUAGGUCUAAAGAUCCCCUAUUUACCAUCUUUUCUCCCCUGCCUUUAGAUAGUGGCCUAGAAGGGGCGGGGGGGGGGGUGGUGGAGAUCAAAGCAUUUGAGAACCCUUAUUUAAGUGUACAUGUGAUACACAGACAUGCAUGCAGGCAAAACACCAAUACACACAAAAUGAAAAUAAAUAUGUUUUGAGUCAGAAAUUCUCUGUGUAGCCCUGGCUGUCCUAGAACUCUCUCUCUCUCUCUGUAGACCAGGCUGGCUUCGAACUCACAGAGAACCACUUGCCUCUGCCUCCCAGAUGCUGGCAUAAAGGGUGCACCACCAAAAGCGUUCUCUUCUACUUGCUUUGGGGUGAUGCAGGUCGAGAUGAGACAAGGGCACAGAAGCAAGAUUACAAAAGAAGUUGCAGUUUGCAAAGUGUUCCAGCAAGACACAUGUCGUGCUGCUGGGGCAGCUCUAAGGCCUGCCGCUUUGAGAGAUCAACCAGUGUCAAAAUGUGAUUGCCCAGCUAAGCCCACGAGAAAGCGCACCUGGAGUGCCAAGAGGAAGAGUUGAAGUACUACUGGGACCAGAUUGAAAGGAGGCACUUAAAACAUGCCUAUCACAGAGUCAGGCAUGAAUUCACAAAGGGGUACUGUGACCCUAGACCUAGGAGGGGAACUCCUGCAGCAUCUGGCUUCUCUCAUAGAUCCCCACAAGCAUCAAAACAUUCUGAUUUUUAAAACUAACUUUAGGGGCUGGGGAUUUAGCUCAGUGGUAGAGCACUUACCUAGGAAGCACAAGGCCCUGGGUUCGGUCCCCAGCUCCGAAAAAAGAACCAAAAAAAAAAAAAACUAACUUUAAAAAGCCAAUCCAUUUGAUUAUCCCUUGGGAAAGUAAGAUUGAUACAAAGUUUCUCUAGGUAGCCAAGGAGGGCCUGGGAAUUGCUCUGCAUUGGCAAAUAACCCCCAAUCUUUGAUCCUCCUGCCUCCACAGGGGUGCUGGGAUCAUAGGCCACACCCACCCAUCUCGGUAAUGAUUUUUUAUUUAUUUUUAUUUAUUCAUUUUACAUCCUGACCACUGCCUCCCACUCCAGUCCCCCCUCCCACAAUCCUGCCCCCAUCCCCCUUCCCUUCUCCUCUGAGAAAGUGAGACAUCGAGUCUCUUCAGGGCUUGGCACAUUCUCUCCCACUGAGGCCAAACAAGGCAGCCCAGCUAGAAGAACAUAUUCCACGGAGAGGCGGCAGCUUUAGGAAUACCCCCCCACCCCGCUCCAGCUGUUCGGGACCCACAUGAAGACUGAGCUGCACAUCUACUACCUAUGUGCAGGGAGGCCUAGGUGCAGCCCAUGUAUGCGCUUUGGUUGGUGGUUCAGUCUCUGGGAUCCUCAAGGGCCCAGGUGAGUUGACUCUGUUGGUCUUCCUGUGGAGUUCCUGUCCCCUCAAUCCUUCCCCCAGCUCUUCCAUAUAAGAGUCCCCAAGCUCCAUUCACUGUUUGACUGUGGGUCUCUGCAUCCAUCUGAGUCAGCUGCUAAGUGGAGCCCUUUAGAGGAUUAGAGGACAGCCAUGCUAGCUUCUGUCUCCGUGCAUAACAGAGCAUCAUUAAUAGUGUCAGGGGUUGGUGCUUGCCCUUGGGAUGGGUCUGAAGUUGGGCCAGUUAUUGCCCUCAGUCUCUGCUCCAUUCCACCCCUGAAUUUCUUGUGGACAGGGUGAGUUUUGGGGCAAAAGCCUUGUGGGUGGGCUGGUGACCUUAUAGCUCCCCCAGGGUUCCUGCCUGGUCACAGGAGGUGGCCCCUUCAGGAUCCAUAUCCCCAAUGCUGUGAGGCACACUAAGGUCAUCCCCAUUGAUUCUUGGGUGCCUCCCUUAUCCCAGGUCUCUGACAGAUCCUUGAGAUGCUCCCCACCUUCCCACCCCCCUGACAGUUGCAGAUUUCCAUUCAUUCUCAUGGCCAUCUGGCCAUCUCUCCUGUCCCUCCUCACUCCUAAUCCCCUCCCCAUCUCCUCUCUCACCCAGGUCCCUCCCUCCAUCCAUCUGCCUCUUAUGACUAUUUUAUUCCCCCUUCUAAGUGAGAUUCAAGCAUCCUCACUUGUUCCUUUCUUCUUUAGCUUCUGGGUCUGUGGAGCGUGGAUAUGGUACCUAUAUUUUAUGGCUAAUAUCCACUUAUAGGUGAGCACAUACCAUGCAUGUCCUUUUGGGUCUGGGUUGCCUCACUCAGGGUGAUAGUCUCAAGCUUCAUCCAUUUGCCUGCAAAGUUCUUGAUGUCUUUGCUUUUCAUAGCUGAGUAGUAUUCCACUGUGUAGACAUACUACAUUCUAUUUACCUAUUCUUCAGUUGAGAGAUGUCCAGGUUGUUUCCAGUUUCUGGCUAUGAACAAAGCUGCUAUGAACACAGUCGAGCAAGUGUCCUUAAGGGUGAAGCAUCGUUUGGGUAUAGGCCCAGGAGUGGUGUAACUGGGUCUUGGUGUAGAGCUGGUUUUCUGAGAAACUGACAAAUUGAUUUCCAGAGUGGCUGUACAAGUUUGCACUCCUACCAGCAAUGAAGGUGCUUUCCUCUUACUCUGCAUCCUCGUGGGCUAUCACUUGAGUUUUUGAUCUUAGUCACUCUGACGGGCGUAAGAUAGAAUCUCAGAGUUGUUUUGAUUUGCAUUUCUCUGAUGACUAAGGACAUUUCUUUAAGUGCUUCACAGCCAUCUCUGUUGAGAAUUCUCUGUUUAGCUCUGUACCCCAUUUUUAAUUGGGUUAUUUAGGCUGUUGUUGUCUAAUUACUUGAAUUCUUUAAAAUUUUGGAUAUUAGCCCUCUGUCAGUUGUUGGGUUGGUGAAGAUCCUUUCCCAAUCUGUAGGCUUCCGUUUUGUCCAAUGACACUGUCCUUUGCCUUAUAGAAGCUUUUCAGUUUCAUCAGGUCCUAUUUAUCAAUUGUUGAUCUCAGAGCCUGAACCAUUGGUGUUCAUCUUUUUACCAGUACUUAAGAGAUCUUAGUAACAGCGAAAAUUCUUCUUGUUGUGUGUCCUAUAUCCCCUGAACCACAAGGGGGAGCAGAGGCCCAGGAACACGUAGAAAGAUUAGCAUGACCAAGAUUGUCUUAGACUUCUGCAGUCUCUGGAGCUGUGGCUCUAAAGGAACAGCUGACGCUCCCUGGCAUCAACAUCCUCCUCCUUCCCCAACAGAAAGGCCAGCAUUGUUUCUAAACACUGAGACAAGCAGAACAGAAUCUCCCCAGGAGGAGAAGGAGGGUAAGUGACCUUGGUAAGGAGUGAUGUGGGGUGGGAAGGCCGGGUACACAUUUUGCUGGGCCAAGAGGAUGACGUAUGCUUGUCUGGGUUUGUGAGGGACGCUCAUGCCACAGUGUCCUAACCCUGCAUGGAAAUGCAACUCUUGGGUUGGCCAAGCUUCAACAAUACCUAAACCCCGGAUGACAAGACACCCUCUCUUUCCCGCCAUCCAGGGGGUUCCUGUUACCCAGGCACCUUUGUUUCUUUUCUGUUGUUGUGAUAGAAUACCCUGACAAAGGCAGCAUAGGGGAGAACGGGUUUAUUUUCCCUCCCAAUUCCAUGUCGCAGUCUAUCCUUGUGGGGAAGUCAAGGUAGCAGAAUUGAAGCAGCUAGUUCUAUAACAACAGCAGUCAAAGCAACUAAUUAAUACCUGCACGCUGGCGCUCAUCAAGAUGUCUCCCUUCUCACACAGUUCAGGACCCCCCCUGUCCAGAGCACGUUGUCUCUCACAACACACUGGUCUUCCCACCGAUUAACACAAUCCAGCCCGAUGUCCAGGUGGUUCUACCCACUGCCAUAGUGACAGUCAAAGGUAACCUGAGCUCAAGACCCAGGGAACAAAUGGCGAAAGAAAGACCAGACAUCCCCAACUUGUCCUCUGACUUCUGUCUGUGCACACAAAGGAAAUGCAUGCCAAUUAAUAAGGUGGAAAGUAACUGAGGAAGAGACCUGAUAUCAACCUCUGUCCUGCACAUGCAUGCCAUGUACACAUACAAACAUGUUAUAUGUGUAUACCUCAUACACCGACUAUUCAAUCAGCGGGUUCCUUUGGUUUUUUUACUUUUUCUAUUUGAUUGGAGACAGGGUCAAGUGCAUCGAAGGCUGGCCUUGAACUCAUCACAAAGCCGAAAGUGAAAGUGAUCUUCAGUCUCUUCCUCCACCCUGACCUUUCCAUUACCACCGUCCUGAUUCCUGUCAGUGGUGUCUCCCACUAUGUGUGGGUUUGCUUAUUUCCUUGAUGGCUAAACAUGUUGAGCACUUUUGUCAGUCUCCAUGAUGACCAUUUUAUCUUCUUUUUAAAAAGCUUUUAGAAUUAUGUGUCUAUGUGCAUGUAGUCUGUGUGUGAUUUUCGUGCACACAUGUUCAGGCACUGUAGGUUAAGGGACUGUUGGCUCCAUUUUUCUUUUAGUUAAACAUUGUCGGACUUUGAUCGUGCCCUUAGCUAGUGGUCCCCUUGUUUGUUUGCUUUUUAAAUGGGUUCUUUGUCAAUACCCUUGUGAAUUACACAUUGUAAAUUGUUUUCGUUGUCCCAAGAAUUGAUUGGCCAUAAAAUGUUUCACGAUUUGUUAACUGACCACAAACUUGUAAAAUAUACCUUCCCCACCAUCAUAAAAAUAACUGUGAGAA